AUCACCUGGGGAUCUUGUUAAACUGCAGAUUUUGAUUCAUUACAUCAGUUGUGGUCUUCUAGUCUGCAUUUCUAACAAGCUCCCAGGUGAUGCCGA
rnacentral:pre_miRNA from 1 species